CACACAGCACAGGCCGGGCUAGCCUGGCCGCCUGCUCUCUGGUGGCCCAGGGACAGCCCGAGUCGUAGACGGGAGAGCCACCACUGUGGUGUCAGCCGAUUGCUGCGGUUAGAGAGACGCCAGGGUUCCCUGUUGGCAGUGGGAGGUGUGUCUAUCCAGACUCAAAGACAUUCUUACAGCCGGGACACCUGGGCACAUCACCCGCAGCCCUGGUCUGACGCCCCCAACCUCCACUCCACAGAGCGGAUCUCCCACCGCCCGGCACUGUUUUUGGCACAGUCCAGGUACGUGGCCACCUUGCCUGCCCUUGGCCUCGGCUGACCCUCACCACCUUGCCAGCCCGGGGCGGGCACGAGGGGGACGGAAUGACAGAAGAGGGCAGGCUUGCGAUUUAGAAUCACCCCCGCCCUGCAUAAACCCACCAGACCCCAUGAUGAAUCGAACGUCACAGAGGACCAGGAGGGUAAAGACACAGAGUCCCUGAGGAGCAUGCUGCUGGGCUGGAGAGACAGGAGUCUAGACGGUGCUGACCCUGGGGUGAAUCAGAGUUGGGGGGGGGGGGGACCCGCAACCGGAAGCAGCUAACUCUGUGAGGGUUUAAGAAUAAAAUGCAAGAAAAACGAGAAGAAACGGCUCAUUAAUCACCUAAAAUAAGUGUAGUCUUAGGUUUCUUUGCGGGGAAGAGGAUGUCUGGCGUGAGUUUUUAAAGCUAAAUGGGAGUUUCUCAGGCUGUUGGGUGGCAGUGGGGACAGGAAAAGGGAGCAGGUGCAAAGACCUGGAGGGCUGAAAGAAUGUGGCCCGUUCUGGAAACAGUGAGUUCCACGUGUUUGUUAGUUACAGCGACAGAAAGGCAGUAGCCACUUCAACAACAUAGAAGCUUCUCUCCCCAUCCUCCCCGCCUCCCUUCUCAUGGGAAAGUCCAGAGGGAGGCAGUCACCGCUAACUUGGUGGCUCAGCUCCAUGAAUUCCUCAGGGACCCAGGCUCUUUCCAGCUCACCACACAUCCCUGGAAUGCAGGUUUUGACCUCUUGGCCCAAGAUGGCAGUUAGAGUCCCGGCCAUCACACCCACAUUCCAGGCGGUGGCAUGGAGGAAGAGGUGAAGAAAAAAGGGGGGGAAUAUACAUGCCAGUGUGCUGAAGGAAGGCUUUCAGAAGCUGACAGGUGACACUGUUUAUAACCCGUUGGCCAGAACGUGGUUUGUAGCCACCCUAGCCACAAGGACAGCCAAGAGAUUUUUCUGGGUGGCUGCAUAUCCAGCUAAAACUCAGGGGUUCAAAUGCCAUGGAAGAAGGGGAAGGAGGUAUCAAGGGACAACCAGAGGUCUCUGUCUCUCUCCUCUGGCAUGGCUGGAUCCAGCUGUGGGGUCGGGGGACUAGAGAGGCGGGGAAGGUGGACCCCUGCCCCACGGGCGAGGGGCUGGCCCCAAGUGUGAAGCAAGAGAACGAACCGCUCAGACCUAUUCUGGGGGGCAGUGACGUCAGCAGUGUGAGGGCUGUGUUAGUGUGGGGACGGGCAGGGGGUAUCCUGUGUGUCUGCUCAGAUGACUGAUGAGGCUCCCUUCUAGUGGCUCUUAGCCUUUCAUAGAGGAAAACAAACCCCAUCUUUCUCAGAACCACCCCUUCCACACUCCUCUUCCCUCCCAGAGAGGAUGGCCUGGAUGCAGAGGGAGCGAGGGAUGAAGGGGCCAGCCUUCUGCUGGCCUGGGGCCCGUGCUGGCACCUGCUGGGGUCUGCCGGCCUCCAGGAUCCGGCCUGGCUUGCACCCCCUCCCACCCUUAGCUGAGGUGGCACCGUGGCCACCACAGAUGUCUCUGUGGCUGACGGCUGGCUUUUAACCCUGGGACUCGUCCUGCAGGACCCACUCGGAGGGGCCUUGGAGAGCUCUGUGUCCAGGCUACCCCUGCCUGACCAUGCUGGCCAUCGUGUCCACUUUGAUGUGGCUCAGUCCAAGGGGUUUCCUCCACAGUCCCAAUGGCAAGAGAACCCCACCCCUGGUUCCCCUCUUCACUUAUCCAGAAGCCCAGGUGGGGACAUGCAAUGUCGUCACUUGCUUUCCCACGAAUCCCAGGUGCAGGAAGUGGGGGCCCCCGCCCCGCCCUCCUUCUUCUUGUCUGGAUUGUUUUUCUCAUCAUAAACACUAUGGUCCAGUGUCGUUCUCCAAGCCUGGACCUUGGUCAGUUACAGCGGAAGGUGCUGGCAUUAAGUUCAUUCCUUUUCAAGAUGGCACAGUUGUGUGGUUGGAUGCUAGACAUCCUCCCCGUCUCCUCUUCCUCUUUGCAUGGCCUUUCCCAGGACGUAGCUCAGAACUGCAGAAGAGCAGAGCGUAUGAAUAACGAAGCAGUUCCCUCCACCUCCCACCAUCGAAGCAGGAGCCGGAAGGCUCUGGAUGGAGCUGAGGUUGGGGGGGUGUCGUGGGGGGGCGGAUUCUGCGACAUCUGUCCCUUCUGCCGCCCCUUGCCCCAGAGCAUCUCCAUGAUCCCGUCUCAUCGUCCAGGGCAGAUUGGGAAGCUAGUUCAUGAGAUUAUCAGUUAGCGAUGGUCACUCCCUUCCCCACCGCCCCCUUCCAUGACAGGAGCAUUAGGUUGGGCUCGGCCGUGACACGCCCCAGCCAUCCCCUCCUUGUCCACAGAGGUUGAGGGACGUGUGGAGCCAGUCCUGGACCCGACUUGGAGCCAAGUCCAGCCGCCCGGCAGAAUGAACAAGGAAUAAAUGCUUGUUGGUUCAAGCUUCUGGGCCUUCAAGCAGCUUGGUACACAGCAUUAUUGUGGCAAUAGCCGACUGUCAUUCUUAGGUGACCUCUGGGGCCCCUUGUAGCUCUUAGUAUCUGUGACGGGACUAAUCCUGGCCUUCUGUGAAAGGUUUGGAUGCUGCGCUGAAUGACCACGAAGGAACUGAGUGACCCAGGAGCUCACUGAGAAGCAGCCCUCCCUGCCUUCUUCCCGGCAGAGCAGAGGUGGGGUCCACGGAUCAGUGCGGCCCCUGUGCCCCCCGCCCCAUGACCAGGGUUUCUCAGAGGAUGAGAAUGAUGUCAGACGCAGGCUGCCUGCCCUGAAUAUCUCCCUGUCCCUCUGGCCUGGGCUGAAUCUCACAUACAUCAAUCUAGAAGGUAUGCAUCUAUGUGCCCAUUUCAGAAGAAACUGAGGGACUUCCUAAGACCACGGAGCUGAUCACGGAAUAGCUCAGCCGGUGCUCCCGAGACUAGAUUUUUCCAUGAUGAAGCACUACCUGCCCUUCUGGGAGCUGAAGGCAGGGAGCAGGGCAGGGACCAGUCGGGGCCCAGAAAGGCCCCUCAGGCACCUUCUCUGUCUGGCCUCCUACUUUCCGGGAAGGGACUCUGGUCAGGGGGGCACAUCUUCAAGGAGGGGCCGUGUGUUUCUCAGUCCUGCCUCCCUCUUGCCUGGACCCCUCUCUCCUUCCUGUUACCCAGACUGGCCCUUGGAGGCAGCGUGAACCCCAAAUUCAAGGCCUCUCUCCUCUUUCCCUCAUCAAAGCCAGCACCCAGACAGCUGUCACUCCUGAAAGCAUGUGAGGCCCUGGUGAGCGAGGAGAGCUGAGCCACCACAGGAGGAGGGAGGGCAUUCUGAGGAGGCCACACGUGGACACGACCCAGUGAGGCUGGGAGGGAGGCAGGAGGGAGGCCACCCAGGACAGGGCCCGAGCUUCCUCUCCAAGCAAACACGAGUGUGGGGCCAGGUGUAUUUAUAACAUAGCCCUGAAGGGGACCAGGCCUCACAUAAAUCAUGCUAUUUCCUUGGCAGGAGUAAAAAUAGCCCCAUGGCAUCCUGCACAUGCUUGUGCACGGAACAGAGCUGGCCGGCCAGGCUCCCCCACCCCCAGGCCCCGCCCUCUGGUCAUGCUUCAUUUGACCAUCCGGACAGAGUUUCCACCUCCUCCUCCCCACCACGCACCAGGCUUGCUGCCUGCCCCUGGUCUCCACAGGAGGGGGUGCGGGGAGGGUCCCCCACCGCAGCUCUGUCCCCCAGGCCGAGACCGCUGACUUUCGGGCUGGCUCGGGUCGGCUGCAGAGGGGCCAGUGCACAUCCUUGGCCGAGUCAGGUUGGGGAAGAGUCAGAGCUCGGUAGUCGGUGAGGAAUGAGGGUCGGGUGCGGUGAGGGGCCUGCUGCACCACCCGGGCCUCCCCGGCAACCAGGAACAGAGAGAGGAAAGGAGGAACUUAAGGCGCCCUGGAAGCAGGGGUGAGGCUGGGGUGGGGACCCUCUGCCAGGGAGCCCCAAAGGGCGUCUGAGGCCUGCGUCGGAGGAAUCUGGAGAGCUCCUCACAAUGGAGGUUCCAGGCCCUGGACUCCCAGGAGUGGGGCCAGAAGUGCAUUUUAAGCAAGGCCCCCAUGGUCUUAGGCCUGCUGUCUCUGUGGUGGCCCAGGCCUCCCCU